GUAUAGGCUGCUGAACCAUUCUUUUUGUUGGCUGGUCCAAAUGUGAUCGAAUCCGAGGAACAUAUUCUUCGAAUGGCAAAGCAUAUUAAAGACAUUGCCACAAAAGUUGGGUUGCCGCUUGUUUUCAAGUCAAGUUUUGAUAAAGCUAACAGAACUUCUUCAAAGUCAUUCCGAGGUCCUGGCAUGGCGGAGGGUCUGAAGAUUCUUGAGAAGGUGAAAGUAGCAUAUGACCUACCAAUAGUAACUGAUGUUCACGAAUCAAGCCAGUGUGAAGCAGUCGGCAAGGUUGCAGAUAUAAUUCAGAUUCCAGCAUUCUUAUGUCGCCAGACAGAUCUUCUGGUUGCAGCAGCACAAACUGGGAAAAUUAUCAAUAUUAAAAAAGGACAAUUCUGUGCUCCUUCUGUCAUGGAAAAUUCAGCCGAGAAGAUCAGACUGGCUGGGAAUCCAAAUGUGAUGGUUUGUGAAAGAGGAACCAUGUUUGGAUACAAUGAUUUGAUAGUAGAUCCAAGAAACUUUGAGUGGAUGAGGGAAGCUAAUUGUCCUGUUGUCGCUGAUAUAACCCAUUCACUACAACAACCUGCAGGCAAGAAGUUGGAUGGUGGUGGUGUUGCUAGUGGAGGCCUUCGCGAGUUAAUACCAUGCAUUGCAAGAACAGCUGUAGCAGUUGGCGUCGAUGGAAUUUUCAUGGAGGUUCAUGAUGAUCCUCUAAGUGCUCCAGUUGAUGGUCCAACUCAAUGGCCUUUACGUGAUCUAGAAGAACUCCUGGAAGAGCUCAUCGCGAUUGCUAGGGUUACGAAAGGGAAACAGCGGUUCCAAAUCGAUCUCACACCCUACCAUGAUUAAGAUCAAAGUCAUAAAGAUACAGGACAAAAUCUAACAAAAAAAUCAAUGGGCUGAAGCUAAACAUCAGAUGUAGUGGGCUCAGUAAUGGGCUUGGGAUUUGUCAAGACAAAAAGCGAAGACGGCAGAUUCGUUCGAGGAAGAAGAAGGCCUUCACGAAGGCAGGAACAAAAAAUGGCUUCGGGAUUUUUUACUUAUUAGCUCAAACACAAGUACGUCCACUUAUACAUGGAGUUUUUGUCAACUGUCUAAUCGAAUGAGCCUCUUUAGAAUGCUAUCUUACAUAAAAAAAGGGACUUUUACUCAAGAGGACUAUUGGCAUCCUAGGGUGUUCUUUCCUGCAAACCUGGAGAGGGGGUAUAAUUCUCUUGCUUUACGAUCUUCACCAUUCUAAUUUAUUGCUCACCUGCAUAUUGCAGAGGAGACUAGCUUAAGGGAGCAAUAUUUCUAUUCUGCACCCCUCUUCACAAAAAGAACUCAAUCCAAGAAGAUGAAUAUGAAUCCACGGUGCCAAACAUGAAAGUUGGAUUGGGACUUGCAGGGCAAGCAGUGACCAUAUCCAAAACAGAAGUGGCAGGUUUGAGCUGGUGAGGGAAGUUGAAGGCCAAGUUAUCGACUUUAUGCUCAUAGAUUUUGCCAUUCCGAUCGAGUUUAUAGCGAGAAGUACCCUGAAACUCUCCCUUUGCCUCCCACGGAACUCUAGGUUUAACAAGGAAGGAACCACCUUAACGGAGAUGAUGAAA